AGUUCUUCAGGGCUGUCUCUGUGAUCCAGGCUUUGAUCUGGGAAAGGUUGCGCCUCAUUGCAGAGUUGAAGCUAUCUGCCUGCUUUGUUUACACGAACGCCCUUCCAGGACUCUGUCUGCUUUUGGGGUGGAAGUGCCCUGCCAAAAACUCCAGCUCUCCAUGCUGGCUGUGUGGCCAGCAUACCUCCUGCCUUUUCAACGAUUCCUCUGCCCUGGAUAGAGAGCGGUGUCUCAUAACAGUUUGGAAACUACAAAAGUUUCCCUGGCAGGAUGAAUGAUUGACUCGGCAACAUGUUCUUGCCUUUUGGAGUUGCCCUCCAAUUUUUCCAGGCUUGAUUCUGUAAAUCAUUUCAUCUUGUAAAAAUACUGGGCUGUGAGCACGGAUGAUCUCAAAGAUGAGGAAACAGAAGCUGGGAUAUGUGAGUAAACAUUUCCAAGGUCCUGCAGCUAAUCAAUGGUUGACAACUUCUUUCCUCUGCCUAUGUUGCCAUCCAUGUCAUGGUUUGUGUCAAGACUCUAGGAGAAGUCUACCAUCAGCACCACAGCUACUGUGCACAAAUCCAGAAUGCCAGACUGAAGUCAGAAGGAAAGAUGCUUGGGUGUUGACUGUGAACUAUGACCUUCGUGAUCAACUUGGAAUCAAAUGUCUCUCAGGAGAGGAUAUAAAGGACUAUCUGGAGGGGGCCCCUCCUCAUUCACUGAAGGAAGGAGACAUUCAUUUAUUUCCUCUUCCUGCUCACUGGCUGUGAAGAUAAUGAUCGCUUAAAGAAAUAUGAUAUGGGAGGCCAGAGAGAAAAAGAAAGAAGCAAAGCAAGAAGUGUGACAAAUUCUCAAAUGCAUUUUGAGCAGUUGAAUUACAUAGGGCACUGUAAUAAUGUCACAGGACACUUUUACAAAGAUUUGAACACCAGGCAUUCUAAUCCUAAGCACUACACAAAAUGGCCCUGCUGAUUUUCCCCUGUGGGGGGCUACAGGGCUCUAGUGAGGUCUCUCGCCCAAGCAAUGAAACAUUUCUGUGGUAGGCUGAAGACUGUGGGCCCCCAGAUCCACGAAAGAGCAAGCUCCGCAGAUACCCAGUCUCUUCUGGGAUCCAGUUUGUUCCAUGUCAGGGAUCAGGAGGAAACCCACACAGGGUAACUCUUCUCAGGAAGGUAGAGCCUAAAGGGGAAUACCCAGCCCUUUCUUUGACCUCUUUCUCUUCCUUCGGCCUUAGCAAUGAGGGCUGGGAAGAAGAGGUGACUGUGCAUUUGUGCAUCUCCCUGCUUCCAGAUCCCUUCUCUCCACAGAGGCCGAAAAUCCCAUUUGGAUUGGCAAAUCUGGCUGAACAAUGUCCAGAUUAAAUCUGAGAACUUUCUCAGUGUUAAAGGUUUCCAGCCUUUAGCAUCCAUAAAAGCAAACAAGAUAAAGUUACACUCAAAAUAGGAAUGGUAGGGAAAAAGGUCUCCCGGUUUACCAUAAAAAUCAAAUUACUCCCAGGACCUUGGUGACAGUUAACUCUCUGGCUUUCUUAUAUCACACAGAAUUAUUGCUCUGAAAGAGUCUUUCUCACAGUUCUCCAGA
rnacentral:lncRNA from 1 species